AAUCAACGCUGGCGGCGUGCCUCAGACAUGCAAGUCGAACGAUUAAAGCUCUCUUCGGAGAGUGCAUAAAGUGGCGCACGGGAGAGUAACACGUAAGUAAUCUACCUUCGAGUGGGGAAUAACGUACGGAAACGGACGCUAAUACCGCAUAAUGCAGCGGCACCUAAUGGUGACAGGUGUUAAUGAAUUUAUUCGCUGGAAGAGGAGCUUGCGGCAGAUUAGCUAGUUGGUAAGGUAAUGGCUUACCAAGGCUUCGAUCUGUAACCGGUCUAAGAGGACGGUCGGUCACACUGACACUGAAUAACGGGUCAGACUCCUACGGGAGGCAGCAGUCGGGAAUUUUGGGCAAUGGGCGAAAGCCUGACCCAGCAACGCCGCGUGAAGGAUGAAGUAUUUCGGUAUGUAAACUUCGAAAGAAUGGGAAGAAUCAAUGACGGUACCAUUUAUAAGGUCCGGCUAACUACGUGCCAGCCGCCGCGGUAA
rnacentral:rRNA from 1 species